rnacentral:rRNA from 1 species
GAUGAACGCUGGCGGUAUGCCUAACACAUGCAAGUCGUACGAGAGUUUUUAACUCUAGUGGCGGACGGGUGAGUAACACGUGAGAAUUUGCCUUUAGGAGGGGGAUAACAAUUGGAAACGAAUGCUAAUACCCCAUAUGCUUUUGAGUGAAAUGGAUUUUAUCCGCCUAGAGAGAAGCUCGCGGCUGAUUAGCUUGUUGGUAAGGUAAGAGCUUACCAAGGCGACGAUCAGUAUCUGGUUUGAGAGGACGAUCAGACACACUGGAACUGAGACACGGUCCAGACUCCUACGGGAGGCAGCAGUGGGGAAUCUUGCGCAAUGGGCGAAAGCCUGACGCAGCCAUGCCGCGUGUAUGAUGAAGGUCUUAGGAUUGUAAAAUACUUUCACCGGUGAAGAUAAUGACUGUAGCCGGAGAAGAAGCCCCGGCUAACUUCGUG